AAAUAUCGACGUGUAUAAUUUCAAGAAGCUGGGUGCUUCUUGUGGCACCUUUCUUACUAUGCUUAGUUUGCUUUCCCUUAAUGCAAUCCAAACAUAUAGUAAGAUCAGUAAAAUUUAGAUUUGGAAGAAUCUCAUUCUUUACUAAUCUUUCUAACCGUUCUUUAGAUAUAUUACCCAAACAUAUACAUGUAAGCAGAAUUUUCAUCUAGUGAACUACGUUUAAUUCCAACAUUAUGUUGAAUAAUAAGAAGGGAUUCAAAAAAACUAAUAUCGAGUUUCAAUC
rnacentral:lncRNA from 1 species